rnacentral:rRNA from 1 species
UGCAACUCGCCUACAUGAAGCUGGAAUUGCUAGUAAUCAUAGGUCAGCAUACUAUGGUGAAUACGUUCCCGGGCCUUGUACACACCGCCCGUCACACCAUGAGAGUUGAGAAUACCCGAAGUCCAUGUCAAAGUGGCCGAAGGUAGGCUUGAUGAUUGGGGUGAAGUCGUAACAAGGUAAC